UCCCAAAGUGCUGGGAUUACAGGCUUGAGCCACUGCGCCUGGCAGAUGCCACAAUUUUUUUUUCUUUCUUUACACAGGUGCUGAUGAACUCAGGUGUAAUUAACCCUAAGGGGUAAAUUAUUCACUAAGUGCAGUAAUAGGGUCCAAUUUUUAUGACCAGGUUUUCAGUUCUUUGAUAUUGUCCUACAUUCAGAAAUCACAAAUGAAAAAUACUGGAAUGUGUGACGUGAACAAUGUCUUGGAGGUUAACAUCCAGGUUUUUACAUAUUAGAUGUAACAACAUGAAAGCUGGUACCAUCUGGGAACCAAAGGAACUGUCCCUGAGAACACAGAAUUUUAGGGACAUCAAUUAUUAAGAGUUUACAUGGAAGCAGAAGUGCUCCUAGAUGUUUCCAUUAUCUAGAUAGAAAAAUUCAACAGAUGAGCCCCAGUGCCAGUGCGCGUGACAUUUCCCUGAAGCCACAGCCCUUGUCACCCCCUGCAAAGCUCUGAAGUUGUGCACAGGUAGGCCAGGUGGCAGAUUUCUCUCAAAAGCGGCUGAGCUCGCGCUCUGGCUAGGGAAGGCAGAGGCCUGCGGCACAAAGUACAUUGUCUUAGACAUCAGGACAGUGUCUAUAGCAGUUUAGGAAAGAAGGCGGCUCCCUGGGCUGGAGACGACGCAAUGCUCUGGGAAGACCCCUGGGUGCGGGUGAGAGAGGAAUCCGAGCUGCACAAGGCCAAUGAGGGGAGGACGACCCGCCCGAUUUAGAUAAAGGUAACAAGAAAUUUCAGCUUCCGGCAUGAUGGGCGAAGGCCCCCACCUUCAGCCUCGCUCCUCCAUGCCUUCAGAGCUGUUCCGCCAUGCAGACGGGGAGCCUGCCUGUUCUUUAACCUCUCCUACCUGAUGGGAGAGGACAAGCUACCAGGACAGCUUGUCUCACCAAGAAAUUGUGAUACCGCAUCCCCCAACGUGCUGGCUUCCUGACUUCCAAAGUUGCGGCAAGGUAAGAAGAACUACAGAGGAAGAACCUAAUGCAGACGUUUCCCAGGAGACUUUAACUGAAGUAUCAGCAAACUGAAAGGUAACGAGAGAAUCUUGUGCCUCUGAGGGUGUCUUUCCCAUGGAUCCCUGCUCAGUUGCCUUUCACGGGCCCCCUGAUUUGCGUGAACUCCUGACCUCAGAUGAUCCGCCUGCCUUGGCCCUC
rnacentral:lncRNA from 1 species